rnacentral:rRNA from 1 species
AGAGUUUGAUCCUGGCUCAGAUUGAACGCUGGCGGAAUGCUUUACACAUGCAAGUCGAACGAUGAACCUUAGCUUGCUAAGGGGAUUAGUGGCGAACGGGUGAGUAAUAUAUCGGAACGUACCUUGUAAUGGGGGAUAACUAGUCGAAAGAUUAGCUAAUACCGCAUACGCCCUGAGGGGGAAAGUAGGGGAUCUUCGGACCUUACGUUAUAAGAGCGGCCGGUAUCUGAUUAGCUAGUUGGUGGGGUAAUGGCCUACCAAGGCGACGAUCAGUAGCUGGUCUGAGAGGACGACCAGCCACACUGGAACUGAGACACGGUCCAGACUCCUACGGGAGGCAGCAGUGGGGAAUUUUGGACAAUGGGCGCAAGCCUGAUCCAGCCAUUCCGCGUGAGUGAAGAAGGCCUUCGGGUUGUAAAGCUCUUUCGCAAGGGAAGAAAACUUAGUGCCAGCAGCCGCGGUAAUACGUAGGGUGCGAGCGUUAAUCGGAAUUACUGGGCGUAAAGCGUGCGCAGGCGGUUUUGUAAGUCAGAUGUGAAAUCCCCGAGCUCAACUUGGGAACUGCGUUUGAAACUACAAGACUAGAAUAUGUCAGAGGGGGGUAGAAUUCCACGUGUAGCAGUGAAAUGCGUAGAGAUGUGGAGGAAUACCAAUGGCGAAGGCAGCCCCCUGGGAUAAUAUUGACGCUCAUGCACGAAAGCGUGGGGGGCAAACAGGAUUAGAUACCCUGGUAGUCCACGCCCUAAACGAUGUCU